rnacentral:rRNA from 1 species
CCUACGGGAGGCAGCAGUGAGGAAUAUUGGUCAAUGGACGAGAGUCUGAACCAGCCAAGUAGCGUGAAGGAUGACUGCCCUAUGGGUUGUAAACUUCUUUUAUAUGGGAAUAAAACGUUCCACGUGUGGGAUUUUGUAUGUACCAUAUGAAUAAGGAUCGGCUAACUCCGUGCCAGCAGCCGCGGUAAUACGGAGGAUCCUAGCGUUAUCCGGAUUUAUUGGGUUUAAAGGGAGCGUAGGUGGAUUGUUAAGUCAGUUGUGAAAGUUUGCGGCUCAACCGUAAAAUUGCAGUUGAAACUGGCAGUCUUGAGUACAGUAGAGGUGGGCGGAAUUCGUGGUGUAGCGGUGAAAUGCUUAGAUAUCACGAAGAACUCCGAUUGCGAAGGCAGUUCACUGGACUGCAACUGACACUGAGGCUCGAAAGUGUGGGUAUCAAACAGGAUUAGAUACCCCAGUAGUC